rnacentral:lncRNA from 1 species
AAACACAGAAAAACUAACUGGCUUACUGAGCACACAAGGCCGGACACAGCAGCGAUCCAGAGGGAAGGUGAUGAAACCCCACUUUUCUCACAGCAACCUUGCAGAUAUCGACACUUGGAGAGGAAGGAAGGCAAGCCAAGGGAUCUAAAGAGGCUGUCCCUGCUUUGGGUCAUCUGAAAGCAGCCGUCUUACAUGACAAUAAACAGAACUAGACUGGUGGAGUGGUGAACCAAGGGUUCAGCUACAUAUACACACCAUCAACUCAAAACAUCCUUUAAUUUAGUUAACAGAGCUGUAUUGUUGACAGAGAUUCCCAUCAAUAAAAAGAUAUGAUUACA